AGUGAAGUUGCUGGGUUAUAUGACAACUCUAUGUCUAACUUUUUGAGGUACUGCCAAACUGUUUUCCAAGUAGCUGCUCCAUUUUACAUUCCCAUCAAUGAU
rnacentral:pre_miRNA from 1 species